rnacentral:rRNA from 1 species
CUUUAUUGGAGAGUUUGAUCCUGGCUCAGGAUGAACGCUGGCGGCGUGCCUAAUACAUGCAAGUCGAGCGAAUGGAUUAAGAGCUUGCUCUUAUGAAGUUAGCGGCGGACGGGUGAGUAACACGUGGGUAACCUGCCCAUAAGACUGGGAUAACUCCGGGAAACCGGGGCUAAUACCGGAUAACAUUUUGAACCGCAUGGUUCGAAAUUGAAAGGCGGCUUCGGCUGUCACUUAUGGAUGGACCCGCGUCGCAUUAGCUAGUUGGU